GAUGAACGCUGGCGGCGUGCCUAAUACAUGCAAGUCGAGCGAACAGACGAGUAGCUUGCUCCUCUGACGUUAGCCGCGGACGUGUGAGUAACACGUGGAUAACCUCCCUAUCAGACUGGUAUAAAUUCGGGAAACCGUAUCUAAUACCGUAUAAUAUAUUGAACCGCAUGGUUCAAUAGUGAAAGUUUGUUUUUCUGUCAUUUAUUGAUGGCUUCUCGCCGCGUUAGCUAGUUGGUAAGGCAACGGCUUACCAAGGCAACGACGCGUAGCCGACCUGAGAGGGGGAUAGGCCGCACGGGGACUGGGACAGGGUCCAGGCGACUACGGGAGGCAGCAGUAGGGAACGUGACGCAGUGGGCGAAAGCAUGACGGAGCAACGCAGCGUGAGAGAUGGAGGUCUUCGGAGAGUAAAGAUCUGUUAUGAGGGGAGAACAAAUGUGUAAGUAAAUGUGCAGGUCGUGACGGUACCUAAACAGAAAGCAACGGCUAACUACGU
rnacentral:rRNA from 1 species